CCUACGGGUGGCUGCAGUGGGGAAUAUUGGACAAUGGGCGAAAGCCUGAUCCAGCCAUGCCGCGUGUGUGAAGAAGGCCUUCGGGUUGUAAAGCACUUUCAGUGGGGAAGAAAGCCUUGGGGCUAAUACCCUCGAGGAAGGACAUCACCCACAGAAUAAGCACCGGCUAACUCCGUGCCAGCAGCCGCGGUAAUACGGAGGGUGCGAGCGUUAAUCGGAAUUACUGGGCGUAAAGCGCGCGUAGGCGGUCUGAUAAGCCGGUUGUGAAAGCCCCGGGCUCAACCUGGGAACGGCAUCCGGAACUGUCAGGCUAGAGUGCAGGAGAGGAAGGUAGAAUUCCCGGUGUAGCGGUGAAAUGCGUAGAGAUCGGGAGGAAUACCAGUGGCGAAGGCGGCCUUCUGGACUGACACUGACGCUGAGGUGCGAAAGCGUGGGUAGCAAACAGGAUUAGAUACCCGGGUAGUC
rnacentral:rRNA from 1 species